UGUCCACUCGGACAGAGUCUCCUUUGUAUUUGCACGGCGUACCAGUUAUACAACAGGAUCUCAACCACAACCUACAUUUACCAAUCAGCAACCAAAUCAUGAUAUGCAUUCCCAUACAGCUAACGAUCCUUAGAAUGAUGCAUGCCUCUAAGCACUCCUUAGGCGCUGGAUGAUGCAAUGCACAAUACAACAAACAUCCUAUUUAAAAGUGCUCCCCACACGGAAGCUUUUGUUUUUAAACUCUAAUUCAUUCAUUCAUAAAAACCAUUCGAAAACCUUUUUAAAACUGUUUCCCACACGGAAACUCUAUUUUGAAAACCGACUACCUCGAGGGGUAGAAAACCACGAUAUGUAAAUACAAGAAAAUCCGAUAUCCAUAAAAUCAAUAUCCAAAUCCACAAACCUUAGUUUACAUGCAUAAAUAACGAAAGCAUCCCCAGAUCUACCAAAACCAGAUCACCAACAUUCAAACAAUCAUAAAGAUCAGCUAACUGAACCAUAUAAACUAUCUAAGCUAUAUCAACAGGACAGUAAGGGUAGAAACUAAACCGAAUAACCUGAGUCGGAAGCUCUAGCGACCACUACGAACGUGUCUCACGUCUCGUCUCAACUCUCACCGCCGGCGAUACCUGAAAAAUAGUGGGGGAGGUGAGAACAUGUAAACAUGUCUCCCCUCCCAGUGGGUACCGCAAGCCGAUGAAGGCGAGGAGUACUCACCGGAUCAGGAAGAGCUAAACAACAGUACGGGUCAGUAGAAAUACAGUAGCAAUAAUAGUGAAUGAAAGAGACAUAUAUACGAAAGAAGUACAACUACCGCUACUGUAAUGGACAACUGAAUGUAUACAUGUAACAAGACUAUGUAAUGAAAGAACUGAAGGUAUACAAGCAACAACCGCUACUAUAGUUAUAUGCAUCAACCGGACAAGAAGUCCAAAUAUACCCAAUCUAGUACCUGCUAUAUUGGUCCGCAGACCUCAAGCGCUGCCUGUCACUAACCUGCACCGACCUGAUUCACCCGCCCCACAGGACGACCCAUCCGGAUAAGUACACCUCCGAUCGGUGGCCAAACCGAUCCGGUGUCGUGAAUACCCCCAAGUGCUGUGACUAAGUCAUGAUGGUAUGCUCAAUACAAAAACCGGCUGAAACCGGUGCCUAGGCCGAAGCCAGAAACAAGGACGUACAACGCCGAACCUCGAUCAACCAGAUCGAAACACAUGACGAGAGAGUCAA
rnacentral:lncRNA from 1 species